rnacentral:rRNA from 1 species
AUGGGCUCGGAAGCGCUGCCGGAGACCGUGGCGGAGGCCGGCAAGCAGGGCGCCGCCCUGACAGACGCCUGGGACUACAAGGGCCGCCCCGCGGCCCGCGCCACCACCGGCGGGUGGGGAUGCGCCGCCAUGAUCCUAGGCGCGGAGCUGUUCGAGCGGAUGACGACGCUGGGCAUCGCGGUGAACCUGGUGCCGUACAUGACCGGCACCAUGCACCUCGGCAGCGCCGCCUCCGCCAACACCGUCACCAACUUCAUCGGCACCUCCUUCAUGCUCUGCCUCCUCGGCGGCUUCAUCGCCGACUCCUACCUCGGCCGCUACCUCACCAUCGCCGUCUUCUCCGCCGUCCAAGCCACCGGCGUGAUGAUACUGACGAUCUCGACGGUGGCGCCGGGGCUGCGGCCGGCGGCGUGCGGGGACGCGACGGGGCAGAGCCCCGACUGCGUGCCGGCGAACGGGACGCAGCUCGGCGUGCUGUACCUGGGGCUGUACAUGACGGCGCUGGGGACAGGCGGGCUCAAGUCGAGCGUGUCCGGGUUCGGGUCGGACCAGUUCGACGAGUCCGACGACGGCGAGCGCAAGAUGAUGAUGCGCUUCUUCAACUGGUUCUACUUCUUCGUGAGCAUCGGCGCGCUGCUGGCCGUCACCGUGCUGGUGUACGUGCAGGACAACGUCGGCCGCCGGUGGGGCUACGGCGUCGUCGCCGUGGGCAUCCUCUGCGGGCUGGGCGUGUUCCUGUCCGGCACCCGGAAGUACCGGUUCAAGAAGCUCGUGGGCAGCCCGCUGACGCAGGUCGCCACCGUGACGGCCGCGGCAUGGAGGAAGCGCUCCCUGCCGCUGCCGUCCGACCCGAGCAUGCUCUACGACGUGGACGACAAGGCCGCCGCCGGCGAGGACCUCAAGGGCAAGCUGAAGCUCCCCCACAGCAAGGAGUGCCGAUUCCUCGACCACGCAGCCGUCGUCGACCGGGAGUCGCCCGCGGCGGCGAGCAGCUGGACGCUGUGCACGCGGACGGACGUGGAGGAGGUGAAGCAGGUGGUGCGCAUGCUUCCAAUCUGGGCCACCACCAUCAUGUUCUGGACCAUCCACGCGCAGAUGACCACCUUCGCCGUGGAGCAGGCGUCCGUCAUGAACCGCGCCAUCGGCGGCUCGGGGUUCCUCAUCCCGGCGGGCUCGCUCACCGUCUUCCUCAUCGGCUCCAUCCUCCUCACCGUGCCCCUCUACGACCGCCUCGUGGCCCCCGUGGCCCGCCGCGUCACCGGCAACCCGCACGGCCUCUCCCCGCUCCAGCGCGUCUUCGUCGGCCUCUUCCUGUCCAUCGCCGGGAUGGCCGCCGCCGCGCUCGUCGAGCGGUACCGCCUCACCGAGUCCGCCGACGGCGUCACGCUCACGGUGUUCCUGCUCAUGCCCCAGUUCCUGCUCGUCGGGGCCGGCGAGGCGUUCACGUACAUGGGGCAGCUCGACUUCUUCCUGCGCGAGUGCCCCAAGGGGAUGAAGACCAUGAGCACGGGGCUGUUCCUCAGCACCUGCGCGCUCGGCUUUUUCUUCAGCACGCUCAUAGUCACCAUCGUGCACAAGGUCACCGGCCACGGGAGCAACGACGGCUGGCUCGCCAACAACAUCGACCAGGGGAGGCUCGACUACUUCUACUGGUUGCUCGCCGUCAUGAGCGCGAUCAAUAUUGUCUUCUUCACGAUCGCCGCCAGGGGCUACGUGUACAAGGAGAAACGCAUGGCCGAUGCCGGCAUAGAACUCGCUGACGAGGAGGCCAUGAUCGUCGGUCACUGA